CAUAGUCUUUUUGAUGGCUCUAUCAAAUAGGGCAUUCAGUUUCUGGCAGGAUCACAUUGUUAAGAAAGCAUGACUACAAAAUGGUCUUUUUUUCCAGCUAUUUCCCCAAAGUGUUUCUGGUGGCACUUUAGGAAAUGUUCUGUUUUACAUCCUGAGGAAAACAACUUGGUAAGCAAACAGCCAUGUUAAUAAUUUGUCUUGUAAACCCAUAAAGACCUGAACACAAACCCAGAUGACCUACAUUUAAGCCAGGACUGUUAGAUGUUAUUCUGAUCCCUGUGAAGGAGAAUCAUUUAGGCUUAGAUUUUUAGUUCCAUGCUGCAUUUGUAUUAGUGUGAUUUACAGGUGUUUCCUUUUUUAUUUCUCCAGAAACCAGUCACCACCAAGUGGACUCACCUUGGACUGUCAGCUCUCUUUAUAGAAAACAGAAAAGCAUUUUACUGAAGAAAGGAGACAGAUUUUCAUUUUUUCUUGCCAUAAGGAACAAGUACAAGGUCUCCCUGGGAAGCUUCAGCGUCAGCAACAUGAAGAGCCUGAUAGACAUCACCUGAUCCAUCUGACAGGACAGGGAAAACAAGGUGGAAAUUACAUCCAACUAUUGAUUCAGCUCCAUACAAAUUUCACUCUAGUUAAAGAAACCAAAACAUGGUACACUCAGACUCAAACAAUGGCUGUUGAGAGCAAAUGGUGACUGAAGCAAAGGUAAGUGAAAGAACAAAUUUUUCUUUCUUUUGUAUCUGCACUGCCCACUGGUGUUUUAAACCCCCUUUCACUUGUUUCUAGCUCUCCCUCCAAGGCAAUCAUUCAUGUUAGAAAACAAAUAGCCAGAUGACCAAGCAACACACAGCAGGGAACUGAACAUCAAUAACUUGUAUUGGAGGAAAAGCCAAGCCAUUUGAACAAAGAAUGGGAGAACAACAGUACCUGGCUCCUGAUAAACAACUGUGUUAAGUCAGCAAAGACAGUUCAGUCUUGAAGAGCUCUCAAGAGCCAGUACUGGUAGCAGAAGUCAAUGAGGGACAAUGCUGAAAUGUCUAGAUUGCAUAUAAAGAACUGCAGUAGAAUGCUAAAUUCAAUGCAUGUCUAAUGUAAGACUUGGAUUAAUCAUCUGAAUAAAAAUAACACGGUUAAAAUGUUUGUUGUGAU
rnacentral:lncRNA from 12 species